AGGUUCAGGAAAAUAUCUUCGUCGGUUUCAACCACAAAGAGCUUCUUGACUUCUACAGCAAGCUUGAAAUCGUGCAAGGCCAAUUGGAUACCCUGACUUGAAGCCUGGUGAUCUUUGUACAACCUAACACACACACACACACAGUUAGAUUUUUCGCUGACAGCUAUGCCAGCUGUUGGAGGUCUAGAAAUUCCAUUCUUUCUCUGAGAAACAUGUCAGACAACGAAGGAAGGGCGUUUCUUUCCACUGAGAGCCCCUCUUAGAGAGGCCGAUGUGGUGUGAUUGUACUCUGAACUUUCAUAUCUUCAUUAAGGGGACGGUGGGAAAAUCACCUUCGUCAACAGCCAUUGUCCUGGAAGGCAUUGCUUUGUGACAUUUUCUAUAACCGGCAGUGAGGAAAUAAAAUGUUUGAUGUGAAUCAGAUGCAUUCAGAUGUUAAUGUGCCAACCCUCAGUGAUCCGAAACAUGUGUUUGUACCCCCAUAAAAAAAGAAGUCAGAGGAAGUGAAAUGUUAUUUAAAGGUAAAACAAAUGGAUUUAGUGACUUGGAGAAGGAACUGAAGUGGAGGUGAAAUCCAUCCAAGCUGUUGUUAUUGAGUGAAGGCUCAUUAUUUCUCAUUAAGACCAACCUGGACUGCUGGUUCAACAGAUGGGAGUUCUGGGAGGCACAGCGGACCUCCAGUGUGUGUGUGUGUCCGUGUGUGUGUGUGUGUGUGUGUGUGUGUGCGCAUACAUGCAUGCCUGUCUGUGUAGAUGGAUGUAUGAAUAUGUCUUUCUUCAUGCAUCUGUCAUUAUGUGUGUGUGUGUGUGUGUGUGUGUGUGUGUGUGUGUGUGCAUACAUGCAUGCCUGUCUGUGUAGAUGGAUGUAUGAAUAUGUCUUUCUUCAUGCAUCUGUCAUUAUGUGUGUGUGUAUGUGUGUGUGUGUGUGUGUGUGUGUGUGUGUGUGCAUACAUGCAUGCCUGUCUGUGUAGAUGGAUGUAUGAAUAUGUCUUUCUUCAUGCAUCUGUCAUUAUGUGUGUGUGUCUGUGUGUGUGUGUAUGUGUGUGUGUGUGUGUGUGUGUGUGUGUGUGCAUACAUGCAUGCCUGUCUGUGUGUAGAUGGAUGUAUGAAUAUGUCUUUCUUCAUGCAUCUGUCAUUACGUGUGUGUGUCUGUGUGUGUGUGUGUGUGUGUGUGUGUGUGUGUGUGUGCAUACUCUUCCGCUCUCUGAAUCUAAACUCCCAUUCCGAGUCAGUAAACCCAACAGCAUCAGAUCUACCCGUGUACUCAACCUCUACCUGCUUACUAAUCUGUACACACUCAAUUCCAAACUGUUUGUCCAUUACUUUUUCAUAUUAUAAAUCAGUUGAUAACAUUCAAUAAAUACUGUGCAGAUUGUA